UGAACCUGCGGAAGGAUCAUUACCGAGUGCGGGUCCUUUGGGCCCAACCUCCCAUCCGUGUCUAUUGUACCCUGUUGCUUCGGCGGGCCCGCCGCUUGUCGGCCGCCGGGGGGGCGCCUCUGCCCCCCGGGCCCGUGCCCGCCGGAGACCCCAACACGAACACUGUCUGAAAGCGUGCAGUCUGAGUUGAUUGAAUGCAAUCAGUUAAAACUUUCAACAAUGGAUCUCUUGGUUCCGGCAUCGAUGAAGAACGCAGCGAAAUGCGAUAACUAAUGUGAAUUGCAGAAUUCAGUGAAUCAUCGAGUCUUUGAACGCACAUUGCGCCCCCUGGUAUUCCGGGGGGCAUGCCUGUCCGAGCGUCAUUGCUGCCCUCAAGCCCGGCUUGUGUGUUGGGUCGCCGUCCCCCUCUCCGGGGGGACGGGCCCGAAAGGCAGCGGCGGCACCGCGUCCGAUCCUCGAGCGUAUGGGGCUUUGUCACAUGCUCUGUAGGAUUGGCCGGCGCCUGCCGACGUUUUCCAACCAUUCUUUCCAGGUUGACCUCGGAUCAGGUAGGGAUACCCGCUGAACUUAAGCAUAUCAAUAA
rnacentral:rRNA from 1 species